UGGAGGUUUUGAAGAUUGGGGUUGAAUGUUUAUUUUUUGUGUGGUUAAUCUUGGGGAUUGUAUGGAUUUGUGAUGCACAGUCAUCUCCUACCGAUGCUCCUAAACUCCACAGGUUAUGUGUAGGCUUCAUUGCUUUCAGUUGCAUUAGAUAUGCAUUUACACUUCUAUUAUGUGCAGAUUCUCUUUUGGGUGGUGGAUUAUAUUUUCAGAGACCGAGCCCUGAUGAUUGUUGUUGCAUAUGCUUGGAGAAAUUUGGAGAGGAAGAAAGACUAGUAAUAAGGAAACUUGAAUGCUCACACGUAUUUCAUUCGAAGUGUAUAGACAAAUGGCUGAGAGUCAAAUCGACAUGCCCUCUCUGUCAAUCACUGGUUAGGGAUUGAUGAGAUGAGGUUAAGGUG